UAUUGGUACAGUGACAGGCAGGUCGAU
rnacentral:misc_RNA from 1 species